UAGGAGCGGUCGCCUAUUUCCCCUCCGAGAGAAGCGCCUGCGCGCCGUUUCCCGCCCGCCAGAGCACGCCCCGGCGUCCGGGCGCGGCCGCCACGGCAGCCCGCGCUCAGACCGACGGCUAGGCGCGCCGCCGCGCUGAGCUCCGUCUCCCCGUCCGUCAAGGGGGGAUAACGCAGUCGACCCGGAGACACGGCGACGGGCGCCCAGUAAACGCUCGGCGCAGCUCUCCAGUGACGCGACCGAGGAAAACAAGCGACACCGGCCUCUGGACUUCGCUCCCCGCCAGUGAACCCCCCAGCCCUACGCAGGGACAGGAAGCACUAAUGUGCUCAAGAUCAGCAUGAGUUUGUGCUGUGCACCCUGAUCUGGAAUGUGUCACGGGGGGCAAUGGAGAAGAAUAGGAUACUUACAUCGAGCGACCACACUGACGUUUUACACCCGUUAACAGUCCUGUGCUCUGUUCAGUAUUUUGAGGCCCAGGAGGGCGAGGAGCGACUUGGGAACGUGCGGGGGCAGCGCCAGCAGGGGGCGGCGGGGAGCAGAGCCGCCGGCAGAAACCCGAGGAUAAGACCGAAACCACGGGUCACGGCCGGAAAGACGAAGCUGAACUCGCUUUGAAGGUCUCCUGCAUUACUGAAAAAGAGAGAAGAGGAGAGAUUUGAAGAAGUGUUUCUGAUGGUGAAUUCUGUUAGGACUUUAAAAAAUGGCUUUAAUUAGUUUAAAGACUCCAUAUGGUUUGGUGCCAUUUACAUGAAAUAUCCUCAAGGGACAAAUCUGCAGACAGCGCAGGUGGUCGCCUAGGGCUGGGACCUGGGGCUGGGAUGGAGGUUUGGGGGAUGCAGAGGGGAGGAGGGGUUCUGUGGCGUAGGAACCAUCCUAAAGUCAUGGAGGUAAGUUCAGAACUCUGUGAAAUACUAACAGCCGUUGAACUGUACCCUGUAAAUGAAAGAACUAUAUGGUGUAAGAAUUGUGUCUCGACAAAACUGUUGCUUUAAACUUACGGCACUUUAGAAAUCUUAAUGUGGAGAUCUCCAAAUUUAUUUCUAACGAGUAUUAAUGUGUUUCUGGAUAAUAAAUGAUAAUAUGCCCUAGUGACUGAAAUUUCUGUCAGCAGUUUCAUUUCCAGCAGAUACAGAUUAAUUUCUAUCAUUUCAGGUGAACCCAGGCAGUUUCUCAGGAGCCCCGGGAGAGAGCAGGUCUGCGGGCAGAGCUCCCUGGUGGUCCUUUGCUCCCCUCCGGGGCCCCCCUUUCCCCUCUGUGGACUGACUGAGGCCUUUGCCCCUCAGCUGUGGUUUUAACUCUGCCAUCACAGCACUUGCUCUUCUCUCUGCUCACUUGUGACUGAGUGGAAACUGAGAAGACCUUCCGUUCAUUUCCAGCAACUUCUGUACAACCUUUGCACAUUUGAGUGAGGGGGGAGAAACGAUUUUAUUGUCGAACAUUUGCUAAGUCUGCUUUGGAAGCAGAUGUUUGAACCUUUUGUGAAAUUGCUAGGGUUUGGACGUCUGAAUAAAACAUUACUUAUAUUUUAAAGUUUUAAUAAAAUUAGUUUUUUAUUAAAAAUAUUUAAUUAAAAUUGUAAGAAUUUCCAAAAUUGGGAUUUUAUGUGUAAUAAAUGAUAGAGCAGGCAGUCAGAUUCAUAUAUAUUUAAUAAAUAUAUGUCUAACUAUACCUCCUGACUUUUUAACUCAGCAUUUUUAAACUUAGAAAAGUGGGGAUAUGUGUUUUUCAGACAUAGGACCAUUUCUGGAGAAAUGU